GAUUGUCCUACAGAUCACGCCUACACGAAUAUAUUGUCAGAUAUUGUCGCCAUUGAACACGUGUAUACUCAUCAUCUCGCGUGUAGAGGACACGAGCCAGAGAUCAUCGAGUAUCGUGGAUCACGUUUCAUGAACACGCGUCCUAUAC
rnacentral:lncRNA from 1 species